rnacentral:rRNA from 1 species
UACAGAGGUCCCAAGCGUUGUUCGGAUUUAUUGGGCGUAAAGGGUGCGUAGGCGGCGGAGUAAGUUGGGUGUGAAAUCCCGGGGCUCAACCUCGGAAUGGCAUUCAAUACUGCUCCGCUAGAGUACUGGAGAGGAGGCUGGAAUUUACGGUGUAGCAGUGAAAUGCGUAGAUAUCGUAAGGAAGGCCGGUGGCGAAAGCGAGCCUCUGGACAGUUACUGACGCUGAUGCACGAAGGCCAGGGGAGCAAACGGG